AAAAACAAGAGACAACAAAUGUUGUAAAGGAUAUGGAGCAAAGGAAACCCUUGCGCACCGCUGGUGGGAAUGUAAAUUGGUGCAGCCACUAUAGAAAACAGUAUAAAGAUU